rnacentral:misc_RNA from 1 species
GUUAAAUAAUUGGUGUAUGCUGUCAAUACUCCAUAGCAUUAUAGUGUUAUAGGUUAUGAACAUUGGAUCUUCUGUGUCAAAUAUUUUUGCUAGUUUUUAGAAAUUCAUGCAUAAAAUGGGUAUCAUUGCCUCCCAAAGGGGAAAACACAAAGAAAAUAUAGAUUCAAUAUAUUGUUUGUAGCAGAUAGAAAUCUUUGAGUUAUUGGACCUAAUUCCUGUCUGAUUCAUUCCUUAAGUGCUUUGAGCCAAUCUCAUUGCAUGUAGAAAGAAUUAUUUGUCUUUGGAACUAAAAUACAUUGUCUCCCCUAUUUAUUUAUCACUAAUGCCUGAUUCACAUAUGCUGGCAGAGUAGGUCUUAUAGCUAAUAGUCACAAACUAUCAAGUACGUAAUGCUUUCUGCUUCCCAGAUUUUGUGUCUCUCUGCGUUUGGUUGUGUGCAUACAUGAUACAUAUACACAUCUUUUUGUGCUGAGGAGCUGCUAGUGCUAUGGUUUGAUUUCCAUUUUUAGUAGUUAAGUCUUUGGACUGAAUGGUAACAUGUUCUCCUUGGUUCUGUACUUUUUGUAACAAUUGUAACUGGAGAUGAUGAAAUUGGAUUUGAAUUGUGGGUAUUGAAUAUUGAUGCUUCCCCCUAGUUAUAGUUCCUUUGGGCUCAAUUUGUUGUACCAAUUAUAUUAUUUUUGAUAAGUAUGAGGAUCAAGGAUUUAUUCUGAGUUUAUUUUUGGGGAUUUGUCAAUUUUGUAAGUUUAACAACUUUGAACUUUAUUUAUAAGUGGGUCAAUCCUAUUUCCUGUGCAAUAAUUUCAAGGCACAGCCUAUUGCACAAACAGUGAUGUCUUCUUGAAGAAACUCAUGAUUGAUUUCAUUUCUUUCUUGAUAUUAUUUUUUUGUUUAACAAUUAUUGCUUUAUACAGCCAUGUCUUCUAAUCUGGGCCAGAAUGCUAUUAAUAUUGCAACAUGAUAAUUUUGCUUGGGCUAACAAUUUGUUAGAGAAUAGUUGCCUGAAUGGCUGAAUGAUGCUGUUUCAUGCGUGCAAUGAUGCCUCCUACUGAAAAAAAAGCUUAAUCCAUAGUUGGAGAACGGAAAAUGAUAGUCUAAAAAAAGAAGAGGAAUUGUGCCUAAUCCUAAACAAUUUCAAAGCAUGAGUGGAAGUGUACAUCUUGAAUUUAGGCUUCUGAAUGUUGGGUAUGAGCAGAACUAGUGCUUUUUAGUUGUAGGAUAUCCUUGUAGACUUGUAUAUAUCUGCUGUGUGCUCCUAUCUGUUCAAGGCUGCUAGAGUGGGGCCCUUUUUGCUUUUCCUUUAGUAUUUGGUUUGCAUGGGUCAGUGAAAGUGAAGAAAUCUUUCUUGAUAUUUGCACUGCUUGUUUAAGUGUUUCUUGUGGUGGAAAAAAUGAGUCAUAUUCUAAUCUAGGACUGCAUUUGUUACUACAAUUGUCGCUUUUAUUUUGCACAUGUAGAAUUGAAUAUUUUCAUUUUUCACAAAAGUUAUUGGCUUUAGUUUUACCAUGUAAUUUGUAGCUCAUUGCAAACUUUGCUGGGACUAAUAUUCUAGUUACGGCGAAUUUAAAACUUCUUUAAGCCAGAUAUCAUGUGAUUCUGAUCCUGUGGGCUUAUCUUUUGCAAUGAUUUUUCAAAAUUAUUUACGUCAAAUGCAUUAAUUGAAUACAUUCUCCAUUUCUAAAAUAUAAAUUGUUUAGUUUUUUUUUCCUUUCUUCUUCUUUUUUUAACAGAUGGUGCGUCCUUGAUAUCA